UGGAGAUGAUGCAAACCUUGACACUGACGAGAUACCGUGGAGGGGAACAAGAAACCUGAUUUAAUGAGGCUGAUCC